rnacentral:rRNA from 1 species
AUGCUGUGGUACCUCGCCGAGCGCUCGGGCACCAUCCUCCGCCCGUGCACCCGGCGCGCCGUGGGCGCCCAGGCGCUCCACGCGGUGCGCGCCGUGGCCAUCGGCCCGUUCCACCGCGGCGACCGUGGCGUCCCCUUCCCCGACGACGCCAAGCUCCCGUUCAUGCGGUACCUGCAGGAGCAGUGCGGGCUCGAUGUCGACGCCUACGUGGCGGCGCUGUCGGCCGAGCGCGACCGCCUCCGCGACGAGUUCGCCGACGACGACGCGGACGCGGGGGCGGAUGACAAGGUGCUGCUGGACGACGAGGACAAGUUCCUGCAGAUGCUGCUCCUGGACAGUUGCUUCGUCCUCGUCGUGAGCAUGAUGCUCAGCAAGACCGGCGUCGGCGAGGACGCCGACAGCGCGGCGCGGGCGGCGUCCAUCAACAGGGAGUACUUCAUUCUCCACAUGGCCGUGGCGCAGCACGCCGAGCAGAUCAAGCUCGACAUGCUGGUGCUCGAGAACCAGGUCCCCUUCGCCGCCGUCAAGCUGCUCGUCGCCUCCUGCGGCAGGCUGAUCCUCCGCCACUCCGUCGAGGAGGUGGUGCUCGGCUGCUUCGACGACGUCUGCCCGAAGCGGGCGUGCCUCGCCCGCGACGCGGCGGGCGCGGAGUUCCACCACGUCCUGCACCUCUUCCACUGGUCCCGCGUGCCGGCUAACAAGUACUGCAUCCUCUCGACGCCACUGAAGCUCCUCAAGAUCAAGAAGGAGUCGGAGCGGCUGUUCCCCUGCUCCGUGGAGCUGCGGCACUCGGCGGUGUGGUUCCGGCAGGCUGCGGCGUCGACCUGCCAAGGCGACCUUGACAUGUCGUUCUGGAGCCGGCCGGCGAGCCCCGUGGCGGUGAUGAGCAUCCCGUGCUUCCACGUCCACGAGUACAGCGCGGCGGUGCUGUACAACAUGCUGGCCUUCGAGAUGCGGUUCCACUGGGCGCACGGCGCAUGCGUGACGACGCACGUCGCCCGGAUGGAGGGACUCGUGCGGUGCCCGCAGGACGCGACGUUUCUGCGCCGGCGAGGUGUCCUUUCCGCCACGCGGCUGACGGACGCGGAGCUCGUCUACUUCUUCCGGGAGCUCGGGGCGCAGACAGUCGGCGCGAGGCUGCCGGAUGAGUUCGGCGAGAUGGUCGACGCGGUAGCGUGCCACCGGAGGCGGCGGGUGAGCUGGUGGUGCGGCGGGUUCGUGCUGCACUUCUUCCCGUCGCCGUGGGUGGCCGUCUCGCUUCUCGCGGCGGCCGCAAUUUUCGUCGUGCCGUCCAUGCUGCAGACGGAUUUCCGGCGAUGCGUUUUUAGUGGGAAAAGACGUUCCCGUCGACGACGAGGGGUUGCGCGUCCGCUACCGCGGUCGGACGCCAGACGGACCACACCGCCUCCGAUGAGGCAGCGAUGGCACAACUAG